ACCUGUGUGACGACUCGAAGUCACACCCAUCCUCUCUUCGCGACAGACCUGGGGACUGUAGCGACUCCGAGGAGGGCGCGCAGCGAUGGCGUCACCAUCCGGCGCCGCCGCCUUGGUUUCCUUGGCGACCGGCGGUCGCUGGGUGCCGCGGCUGGGAAGAUGCUGCCUAGGCGGCCUCGCGACCCGCUCCAGGCCCUGAGGCGCCGCAGUCAGGAGCUGAAGCAACAGGUUGACAGUUUGCUUUCUGAGGGCCAAUUGAAAGGAGCUCUAGAACCCAAUAAAAGGCGAGAUAUUUACCAAAGAUGUAUCCAGAUAAAACAGGCAAUAGAUGAAAAUAAAAAUGCUCUUCAAAAAUUAAGUAAAGCUGAUGAAGUUGCACCUGUUGGAAACUAUAAUGAGAGAAAAGAAGAGGAGUAUAAUCUUUUGGAUAAGCUUACCCUCCAGCUACAGGAACUUGCUAUAGCCAUAAAUAGAGAAGAGAUAACUAAAGUUGAGGCCUUUUCUGAAAGAGAAGAAUGUGACAAUCCUGCUGAAGAAGAAGAAGAAAGUGAAAGUGGAGAAAGUGGUGUGGAGGAAGAAGAUUCAGAAGAGGAAGAAGAAGACAAGCAGGAAAAUGAAUCUCACAAACAGGCAACAAGUAACAAAUACAUUGCGAUUGGAGAUUUUACUGCCCAGCAAGUUGGAGAUCUCACAUUUAAGAAAGGGGAAAUUCUGCUUAUAAUUGAAAAAAAACCUGAUGGCUGGUGGAUAGCUAAAGAUGCCAAAGGAAAUGAAGGUCUCAUUCCCAGAACUUAUCUGGAGCCUUGUGAUAAAGAAGAAGGAGGCCAAGAAUCCAGUGAGGAGGGAACUGAAGAAGAUGUCGAGGUAAUGGAUGAAACAGCAGAUGGAGCAAAAGUCAAGCAAAGAACUGAUUCCCACUGGAGUGCUGUACAGAAAGCUAUCUCAGAACAGAUAAGUACUGUUGAUGUGUUAACUUCAAUGGGAGCUAUUCCUGCAGGGUUCAGGCCUUCCACACUCUACCAGCUUCUGGAAGAAGGUAAUCAAUUUCGAGCAAAUUACUUCUUACAACCAGAGCUCACACCUUCACAACUGGCCUUCAGAGAUCUGACAUGGGAUGCUAAAGCAGGCACUAUUAGGUCAAGACCUAGUCGUGUUUCAUUGAUUUUGACCCUAUGGAGCUGCAAAAUGAUUCCUCUUCCAGGAACAAGCAUACAGGUUCUCAGCAGACAUGUACGCCUCUGUCUUUUUGAUGGUAAUAAGGUUCUGAGCAACAUUCAUACAGUCAGAGCCACAUGGCAAUCUAAAAAGCCCAAAACAUGGACCUUUUCUCCCCAAGUUACUGGCAUUUUGCCAUGCUUACUCGAUGGUGAUUGUUUUAUCAGGUCUAAUUCUUCAUCUCCAGAUCUUGGAAUAUUAUUUGAACUUGGAAUUUCUUAUAUUCGCAAUUCAACUGGUGAAAGAGGAGAGCUAAGUUGUGGCUGGGUGUUUCUUAAACUUUUUGAUGCCAGUGGAGUUCCUAUCCCAACAAAGACUUAUGAACUCUUUUUGAAUGGUGGUACUCCUUAUGAAAAAGGUGUUGAAGUGGACCCAUCAAUACCCAGGAGAGCACACGGAAGUGUUUUCUAUCAGAUCAUGACAAUGAGAAGGCAGCCUCAACUUCUAGUAAAACUGAGAUCCUUGAACAGAAGUUCAAGAAACUUAUUAAGUCUACUUCCAGAAACAUUAAUUGGAAGUAUGUGUACUGUUCACUUGUUGAUAUUUUAUCGACAAAUUCUUGGAGAUGUGCUCCUAAAAGACAGGACGAGCUUGCAAAGUGCUGAUUUAAUUAGUCAUCCAAUGCUGGCCACCUUCCCCAUGCUCUUAGAGCAGCCGGACGUGAUGGAUGCUCUCAGGAAGUUUUUGUGAAGCCUUAUGGACAGCUUGGAAAUAUUCACUUACAAAGCUGUACUUCAGUCUAUCUCAUUAUGACCAUUACAUCAUCAUGGAAGACAGAAUUGUAGAGAAAUAUGAGUUCAUGGACUGAAAAAGAAAGUACAUUAAAAAGAUCUGAGAAGGCUUUAUGGUCUCUGUCACACUGCUCAGCUCUGCUGUUGUGAUGCAAAAACAGCCACAGACAAUUUUGGAGUAAAAAUGUAUGGAUAAUGUAUCCUUAUUCGAGCUUCUGUAUCAUCUACACAUAGGUUUAGUGCCUUCUAGUAUAGCAAUUGGCAAGGUGCAAGGCCUUAGGCCUGUGGACAUCGCCCCCAGGCAUGUGUGGUUGGAGGGCGAUGUCUUUGUGUAGACGGUUGUGUGUAGGUAUCUCUGCCCUCAGCCUGCUAUUCUCUCUGAGAUCCCCACCGCACCCUGCUGGCGUCAGGGCUUGAUGGAUAUUGUUGAGAUUGCACCAGUUAUCUGGAAAGGGUCUGGCACCCUUUGGACCCAAGAGUCCCUCAUGCAUCACCAAAAGCAUUGCUGGGGAUAAGCCAACCAUUCUUACUCCUUAGAUCUCCUGUCUCUGGAUCCACUGCAGAACGUUUAUUGCCCUUCUCUUAGAAAACACGACGGUUGUCCCUGAUAUAUUUUAAUUGAAUUAAGUAGAUAUAUAGUCAGCUUUACACUGUAUUUUAGUUAGAUUGACACAGCAAUAUCACCAGAAUUAGACUGCUACUGCAACCCUUUUGUCUCCUUGACAGAAAGUGUGAGAUACUCUCAGUAGAGCUUAGCAGAUACCUCAGGCUCAAGCAGCCUCUUAGAAACUCUCUGAGGGAGAACCACUCGGCCCUGCUCCGUGCUGACUCCUGCUUGCUCCCACCUCCCAGGUGCUGUGUCCUGACCGAGCUCCGGCUCAGAGGUGAUUCCUGCCACGCAUCAGUGGCACCCUCCAUCCUGCUCCUUAGAUGGCUUUUAGUUAACCGAAUUCAUAGAAUUUAACACGUUAAAAUAAUGACCUAGAUCUAUUCCUGGUUAUUUGUG